UCCGAGUUCCGCACCAGCCCCCCACCUGGGAAGGGCACUUGAUCCAGCCGGCUGGUCGACUCGCCACAAUCCCCAGGAUGCCAGAGGCCAGGACCUCCUGCCACGAACUCACACGAUGGAAGAAGAAGCCGCCGGUGCGCUGCACGGUCAGCCAGAUCUGCCCGCCCCCACGGCGGCCCCUGACCAUGGCCGACAUCCAACCGGCCAUGGAGAACGAGAGGCUGGGGGUCGUGUUUCCAUGUUUCAGAACCCGCUCGCUCAUCGACAAGUAGGCCUGGGAUACAAAUGAAGAAUAUAUCUUCAAAAUGAUGGUGUCUUUCUCCAUGAGAAGAGUUCCCAACAGAGAAGCAACUGAUAUGUUUUUCAGGUUGAUCAAUCCUGUAUCAGCCAACCAGGCUCCCCUUUUCUCUACAUCCUCCAAAUAUUUGUUUCUUGUCUUUCCAGUAAUAGUCAUUCUAACAGUUCUGUGCUCCACCUGGGUCCUGGAAUCUAUCACCUGGAUCAGAGAGCUCGCAUGAAGCCAUGUGGCUAGAAGGGUCUUGCUGCUCAAGCCAAGUGUCUAGCCUGACUCUGAGGCGGAAGAUCCAGGUACAGGAUACUGGACCACCAGAGACUUCCCAGCCCCAAGUAAUAUCAAUCUGUGAGAGGUCUCCCAGAAAUCUCUAUCUUAACACUAAGACCCAGCUCCACUCAACGACCAGCAUGCUCCAGAACUGGACACCCCAUGCCAAACUAGUAGCAAGAGAGGAACACAACCACCCAUUAGCAGAGAGGCUGCCUAAAAUCGUAAGUUCACAGAGACCCCAAACCACACCACCAGAUGCAGUCCUGAUCACCAAGAACACAAGAUCCAGCCUCAUCCACCAGAACAUAGGCACCACUCCCCUACACCAGAAAGCCUACACAACCCAUUGAACCACCCUACCCACCAGCUGAAGACACCAAAAACAAUGGGAAUUACAAACCUGCAGCCUGUGAAAAGGAGAUCCCAAACACUGUAAUUUAAACAAAAUGAGAAGAAAGAAAUAUGCAGCAGUUGAAGGAGCAAGAUACAAAUGCACCACACCAAACAAAUGAAGAGGAAAUAAGCAGUCUAUAUGAAAAAGAAUUCAGAGUAAUGAGAGGAAAGAUGAUCCAAAAUCUUGGAAAUAGAAUGGAGUAAAUAUAAGAAAGUUUUAACAAAGACAUAGAGGAAAUAAAGAGCAAACAAACAAUGAUGAACAAUGCAAUAAAUGAAAUUUAAAAAUCUCUAGAAGGGGGCCUCCCUGGUGGCGCAAGUGGUUGAGAGUCCGCCUGCCGAUGCAGGGGAUACGGGUUCGUGCCCCGGUCUGGGAGGAUCCCAUAUGCCGCGGAGCGGCUGGGCCCGUGAGCCAUGGCCGCUGAGCCUGCGCGUCCAGAGCCUGUGCGUCCGGAGCCUGUGCUCCGCAACGGGGGAGGCCACAACAGUGAGAGGCCCGCAUACCGCAAAAAAAAAAAAAAAAAAAAAAAAAAAAAAAAAAUCUCUAGAAGGAAUCAGUAGCAGAAUCAAUGAGGAAGAAGAAUGGAUAAGUGACCUGGAAGACAAAAUAGUGGAAAUAACUACCACAGAGAAAAAUAAAGAAAACAGAAUGAAAAGAAUUGAGGACAGUCCUAGAGACCUCUGAGACAACAUUAAAUGCAACAACAUUCGAAUUAUAGGGGUCCCAGAAAAUAAGAUAAAAAGAAGGGGAAACUGAAAAGAUAAUUGAAGAGGUUAUAGUUCAAAACUUCCCAAAUAUGGGAAAAGGAAUAGACAAUCAACUCCAGAAAGUGCAGAGUCCAUUACAGGAUAAAUCCAAGGAGAAACACAACAAGACACAUAUUAAUCAAGCUAUCAAAAAUUAAAUACAGGGCUUCACUGGUGGCGCAGUGGUUGAGAGUCCGCCUGCCAAUGCAGGAGACACGGGUUCAUGCCCCAGUUCGGGAAGAUCCCGCAUGCCGCGGAGCGACUGCUCCCGUGAGCUAUGGCUGCUGGGCCUGCGCGUCCGGAGCCUGUGCUCUGCAAUGGGAGGGUCCACGGCAGUGAGAGGCCCACAUACAACAACAACAACAAAAAAUUAAAUACAAAGAAAAAUAUUAAAAGCAGCAAAGGAAUAGCAACAAAUAAUGUGCAAGGGAAUCCCCAUAAGGAUAAUAGCUGAUCUUUCAGCAGAAACUCUGCAAACCAGAAGAAAGUGAUAGGAAAUAUUUAAAGUGAUGAAAGUUAAAAAUGUACAACCAAGGUUACUCUACCCAGAAAGGAUCUCAUUCAGAUUCAAUGAAGAAAUUAAAACCUUUACAGAGAGGCAAAAGCUGAGCAAAUUCAGCACCACAAAGCCAGCUUUACAACAAAUGCUAAAGGAACUUGUCUAGGCAGAAAACACAAGAGAAGGAAAAGACCUACAAUAACAAACCCAAGACAAUUAAGAAAAUACUAAUAGGGGGCUUCCAUUGUGGUGCAGUGGUUGAGAGUCCGCCUGCUGAUGCAGGGGACACGGGUUCAUCCACAGUUCCAGGAAGAUCCCAUAUGGGAUCAUGCCCAUGAGCCAUGGCCACUGAGCCAGUGCGUCCGGAGCCUGUGCUCCACAAUGGGAGAGGCCACAAGAGUGACAGGCCCGAGUAACACACACACACACACACACACACACACACACACACACACAUACUAAUAGUAACAUACAUAUUGAUUACUAUCUUAAAGGUGGAUGGACCUAGAGUCUGUCAUGCAGAGUGAAGUAAGUCAGAAAGAGUAAGACAAAUACCGUAUGCUAACACAUAUAUAUGGAAUUUAAGAAAAAAAAUGUCAUGAAGAAUCUAGGCAUAGACAGGAAUAAAGACACAGACCUACUAGAGAAUGGACUUGAGGAUAUGGGGAGGGGGAAGGGUAAGCUGUGACAAAGUGAGAGAGUCGCAUGGACAUAUAUACACUACCAAAUGUAAAAUGGCUAGUGGGAAGCAGCCACAUGGCACAGGGAGAUCAGCUCGGUGCUUUGUUACCAAAUAGAGCAGUGGGA